rnacentral:rRNA from 1 species
AGCGAACGCUGGCGGCAGGCCUAACACAUGCAAGCCGAGCGGCCGUAGCAAUACGGCAGCGGCAGACGGGAGAGUAACACGUGGGAACGCGCCCUUCGGUUCGGGAUAACCCAGGGAAACUUGGGCUAAUACCGGAUACGCCCUUACGGGGAAAGAUUUAUUGCCGAAGGAACGGCCCGCGUCCGAUUAGCUAGUUGGUGAGGUAACGGCUCACCAAGGCGACGAUCGGUAGCUGGUCUGAGAGGAUGACCAGCCUCACUGGGACUGAGACACGGCCCAGACUCCUACGGGAGGCAGCAGUGGGGAAUAUUGGACAAUGGGCGCAAGCCUGAUCCAGCCAUGCCGCGUGGGUGAUGAAGGCCCUAGGGUUGUAAAGCCCUUUCAGCGGGGAAGAUAAUGACGGUACCCGCAGAAGAAGCCCCGGCUAACUUCGUGCCAGCAGCCGCGGUAAAAC